rnacentral:rRNA from 1 species
UACGUAGGGGGCGAGCGUUGUCCGGAAUCAUUGGGCGUAAAGGGCGCGUAGGCGGCCGAUCAAGUCGGGGGUGAAAGCCUGUGGCUCAACCACAGAAUUGCCUUCGAUACUGUUUGGCUUGAGACCGGAAGAGGUAAGUGGAACUGCGAGUGUAGAGGUGAAAUUCGUAGAUAUUCGCAAGAACACCAGUGGCGAAGGCGGCUUACUGGUCCGGUUCUGACGCUGAGGCGCGAAAGCGUGGGGAGCAAACAGG